rnacentral:rRNA from 1 species
GACGAACGCUGGCGGCGUGCUUAACACAUGCAAGUCGAACGAUGAAGAAAAGAAUCGAAGCUUCGGCAGAAAUUCAUUUCGGAUUAGUGGCAGACGGGUGAGUAACGCGUGAGCAACCUACCUCUUACGAAGGGAUAGCCUCGGGAAACCGGGAUUAAUACCAUAUAACAUUGUGACGAAGCAUUUCGAUGCAAUCAAAGCUACGGCGGUAAGAGAUGGGCUCGCGUCCCAUUAACCGGAUGGUGAGGUAACGGCUCACCAUAGUGACGAUGGGUAACCGGCCUGAGAGGGUGAACGGUCACACUGGAACUGAGACACGGUCCAGACUCCUACGGGAGGCAGCAGUGGGGAAUAUUGCACAAUGGAGGGAACUCUGAUGCAGCGACGCCGCGUGAGUGAUGAAGGAAUUCGUUUCGUAAAACUCUGUUCUAUGGGAAGAAAAGGACUGUACCAUAGGAGAAAGCUCCGGCUAAAUACGUG